GUUCUCAUCUCAACGGAUGUGAAAAUACAUGAUAGAUUAAAUCAUAACCAUUCUGAUGAGAACACCAUAACUUAUUCUACACCUACACAACACUAGAUCCCAAACCUGAAAAUCUGUCCUAUGGGAUAUAUACAUAGCAAAAGAAUAUUCUUCUGUUACAUUUUGUUAUUAGCUAGCAAAUAGGAUUUAGACACAUGUAUAGGUGGUUAUUUUGAUUCAUUUAUUCUUUCAUAGAAUAAUCUUUUAUAUAGAUUGUCUCUGUACAGAAUGAAUACACAGAAAAUUUCCAUAAAAUUGUCUUCAUUUUACAGUCUUUCAUAGUAUCAGAGUUGUAGCUCUUUCUGGGAAAAAUCAGCUCCUUUCUUCUUCCCUUUUCUGCGUCAUAACCUUCACCAUGAGUGAAACAACAGACACCACUGUUGCUGUCUUCUUCUGCUAAUGCAGUCAAUUUUGAUCCAAAUAACCCAUAUUUUCUUCACUCAUCAGAUGCACCAGGUAUGAAUCUUGUAAAUGUAGUAUUUGAUGGAAGAGGCUUUCAAGGCUGGAGGAGAUCAGUUCUGAUUGCUCUUUCAGCAAAGAACAAGUUGGGGUUCAUUAAUGGAACAUGCCCUGCUCCUGCCAUCACUUCCAAUGAGUAUCAUCCAUGGACAAGAUGCAAUGACAUGGUGACUUCCUGGUUACUGAACUCACUAUCCAAAGAUAUUGGAGUUAGUGUCAUAUAUUCCAAAUCUGCUAAAGAGCUUUGGACAAGUCUUGAACACAGAUUUGGAAGGUCAAAUGGAGCUAAGUUGUAUCACCUGCGCAAAGAACUAUCCAGUUUAGUACAAGGAACAAGUGAUAUAGCAGGUUACUUCACAAAGCUCAAACGUCUAUGGGAUGAAUUAGACUCUUUAAUAUGUGAUGUUAAGUGUGUAUGUGCUUGUGUGUGUUCUAGUAAACAGAAACUGGAAAAAUCCCUAGAAGAUGAAAGACUUAUACAGUUUCUUAUGAGUCUAAAUGAUGUCUAUGGACAGGCAAGGAGAAACAUUUUGAUGAUGAACCCUUACCUAGCUUGGAUCUUGCUUAUUCUCUGGUAUUGCAGGAUGAGAGUCAGAGAGAGAUCUAUAUGAAUCCCCUCCUCUCUGCUGACUCUUCAUCCUUCAUGGUGGGCACUCAAGCUAACCUUGCAGCACAAGGAAAUUUUGUGCAAAGGAAUAACAAACAAGGACAAAGAAACAUUGGGCAAUUUCAGAAGCAAUCUCAAAAAUCAGGAAACAACAUGCAAUUCCAAAGAUCAGGAAGCAAUAUGCAGAAAAAUGGGAAUACUCCGCAAAGAAACUUUGUUGCAAAAGGAAAGAAGAACAAGUUCAAUCCUAACUUAUCUUGCACCCAUUGCAAGAAAAUAGGACAUUCAGUGGGAGAUUGCUAUAGAAUCAUUGGUUUUCCUGAAGAUUUUGAAAUCACCAAUCCUAGAGGUACUCAAGUUCAAUUCAGAAGCAAUGGAGCUAUAACAGGGGAACAAGGAGAGGAUGUAAGCAACUAUUCUGAGGUUCUGAAUCAGCACCUUUCCAAGGAUCAAUUUUCACAAUUAGUCCAGAUGAUAAAGCAAGUAAAAGCUCCAGAUGCAGGGAGUUUAAAUUCAGAAAUCAACACAAAUGCAGUAGCUGGUACUAUUAUGAAGUACACUGGAAGUUGUUUUUCAGUUUUUAACACUAAUACUUGGAUAAUUGAUUCAGGAGCCUCAGAACAUAUGUGUUUUGAUUCAAAUGCUUUCAUUUUUUUGAAACCCCUUCCAGUUCCUUUACAUAUAAAUACGCCCAAUUCUUUCAAAGUGACAGUCACACAUACUGGGAAUUCCUAUCUCUGCUGAAUUCAUUUUAGAAAAUGUCCUUCAUGUUCCCAGUUUCAAAUAUAACCUGUUAUCAGUUAAUAGGUUUUGUGUUCAAUUUCACUACUUAAUGUUAUUUACUCAUAACUUGUGUCUCUUGUAGGCCCCUUUAGUGAAGAGGGCUCAAGUUUUUGGUGAAGAAAAGGAAGGACUAUAUCUGUUGCAACCUAGUGGUGAUAGGUCUAGCUCAAAGGAGAAGUGUUUUUUAUCUUCAAAUCAACGUGUUCUUAGUCCAGUUUUAGUUGAUUUUCCUUUUUCUGCAAAUGCAGCUUCUGAUGUAAACCUUUGGCACAUUAGAUUGGGGCAUUUGCCUUUUUCAUCAAUGAAGCAUCUCAUUUUUAUUUCAAGUUUUCCUAAUUCUGAAUGUUUCUGUCAUAUUUGUCCCCAAGCUAGGCAAACUAGGAUUCCUUUUCCUUUGAGUCAAAUUACUUCCAAAAUAGCAUUUGAAUUAAUUCGUGUUGAUACAUGGGAACCCUAUAAGGAAUCCACCUACAAUGGCUUUAAGUACUUUUUGACUAUUGUGGAUGACUUUAGCAGAGGAACUUGGACCUUUAUAUUAAGCACAAAAUCUAAUGCUUUUUCAGUUUUUAAGGAUUUUCUCACUAUGGUUGAAAGGCAAUUUGGGGUAAAGGUCCAAAUAAUAAGGACAGACAAUGCAUUUGAACUAGGUAAAGGCUCUCAACAGGCUGCUUUCCUUAGUUAUCAAGGAAUCUUGCAUCAAACAUCUUGUGUAGCCACACCUCAACAGAAUGGGAUUGUUGAAAGGAAGCACAGGCACCUUCUAGAAAUGGAAAGGGCUUUGUUGUUUCAAUCCAAGGUGCCUAUACCAUACUGGGGAGAAUGCUUAUUGACAGCCACAUUUUUUAAUCAACAGGCUGCCCUCUAAGGUACUUCAUGGCAAGAAACCUUUUUCUAUACUGUUUAACCAGUCACCCUCUUAUGAAAUGCUUAGGAGUUUUGGAUGUCUUUGUUUUGCAUCUACCCUAUCUGGUGGAAGGAACAAAUUUGAGCCUAGGGCUAAGGCCUAUGGGUCAAAAGGGAUAUAAAGUACUAGAGUCAGACACACAGAAAGUUGUGGUAUCCAGGGAUGUUCAUUUUCAUGAAACCAAAUUCCCUUUUGCCUCAAACACCUUAUCUCCAGAUCUUAUCUUCCCUACUCCCACACCAGUAGAAACAACCUUUCCUGAACCUUCCCCAACCUCUCCUUUACCUGAACCUAACAAUUCUCACGCACCCAGUCCUUCUAGAAUUCACUCACCAACUAACACUACUCCUCAAUCUCCUCAGUCUUCUUAUCCCUCUGGUCCUAUUACCUAUGAGGAGCAUCCCACACCUGCACCCACACCAGCAGUGAGAAAGUCCACCAGAGUAACUACAUGGCCUAGUCCUCUAAAGGAUUUCAUCUGUAAUAACAUCUACCUCACAGACCUGACCAACUCAUGUUUUGUUAACCCCUCCAACCUAAUAUUUUUUUCUUUUGGAGCUCUCUCUAGUCAUAAUCAGCAGGUACUGCAAUCUGUAUCAGCUAUAUCAGAACCUGGCAGCUUUUCUGAAGCAUCUAAGCAUCCUGGGUGGCAGCAAGCAAUGCAAUCAGAGAUUGAUGCUUUGGAAGCUAAUCACACUUGGGAUGUGGUUAUCUUACCAAAGGGAAAGAAAGCUUUACCUUGUAAAUGGGUUUACAAGGUCAAACAUAAUUCAGAUGGGUCGGUUGAAAGGCUUAAAGCACGACUAGUAGUCGGGGGGACAUCCAACGUGAAGGCAUAGACUACACUGAGACAUUCUCCCCUGCGGUAAAAAUGACCACUAUACGAUGCUUAUUAGCCAUUGCAGUCAAGAAAGACUGGCCCAUUCAUCAAAUGGACGUCAAUAAUGCAUUCCUACAUGGUACUUUGCAAGAAGAGGUCUUUAUGAAGUUUCGAGCAGGAUUAUCUGCACCUACUGUCAACCAUGUAUAUCUACUGAAGAAAUCCUUGUAUGGAUUAAAACAGGCAUCACGACAGUGGUAUGCCCGUCUUGUAGGUGACUUAAGUUAUAAAGGCUACUCCUCAUCUCUAAAUGAUUACUCCUUAUUUUUAAAAGGAGGAAUAGCCUAAUCUCAGUUGUAGCUGUUUAUUUUGACGACAUUCUAAUUAGUGGCGAUGAUGCAGAAGAGAUUACUGAUCUUAAGUCUUUUCUCAACUCUGAAUUCAAGGUCAAGGACUUGGGAAACUUACAUUACUUUCUAGGCAUGGAAAUACUUCGAGAAAAACAGGGCAUAUUUAUGUGUCAACGUAAGUUUACCUUGGAUUUAUUGAAGGAAUUUGAUGUCUCUGCCCUUCCUUGUGUUUCUUCACCUCUGGAACCUUCUGUCAAAUUGAGUACUGAAAACGGGCCUCUGCUCAGUGAUCCCAUCAUUUAUCGACACCUUGUGGGGAAGUUGAACUAUCUAACCCACACAAGGCCCGACUUAUCCUUCACAGUUUUAAAGUUAAGCCAGUAUAUGCAGCAACCCAGGUCUUCUCACUUCACAGCUGCCCUUCGAGUGUUGAGAUACUUGAAAUCAGACCCAGGUCAAGGGAUUCUUCUAAACUCAGAUCCCUCACUCUCUUUACUAGCAUUUUGUGAUGCUGACUGGGCCUCUUGUCCAGACAGUAGAAGAUGUGUAAGCGGCCUCUACAUCACACUUGGGGGUUCUCCAAUUUCUGGGAAAUCGAAGAAACAAGCCUAUGUAUCUUUAUCGUCAGCUGAAACAGAUUAUCGCUCCAUGCGUAGAGUUAUUGCUGAGCUCACUUGGCUCACGCGUCUUCUCUCUGAUAUCUCUGUAUCUCCAUCUCUGCCCGUGCCGGUCUUCUCUGAUAGCAAAGCUGCUAUCAAUAUUGCUCGAAACCAUGUCUUCCAUGAAAGGACGAAGCAUGUGGAACUCGAUUUCAAUUUUGUUCGGUAACAGUUUCUUUCUGGACUGAUUUCCCUGUCCUUCGUUCCAUCCUCGUCUCAACUCGCAGAUUUAUUCACCAAAUCUCUCUCAGGUCCUUCACAUAGAUCUGCCAUUGGCAAGCUGGGGGUAAUUUCUUUACCCUCCACCUUGAGGGGGAUGUUGAGAAGAAGUCACACUAAUGGCAGCUAUGGCUAUGGGUGUUGGUCUCUCUCAUAAAGAAGAAGAAGAAAGGACACAAGGUUUUUAGACAAAACAGACAAAAGUUUCGGAUACUUCUAGAUCACAUUUGGACUCUCAUUUGAUCUCUCCACGUGUUCUCAUCUCAACGGAUGUGAAAAUACAUGAUAGAUUAAAUCAUAACCAUUCUGAUGAGAACACCAUAACUUAUUCUACACCUACACAACACUAGAUCCCAAACCUGAAAAUCUGUCACAUGGGAUAUAUACAUAGCAAAAGAAUAUUCUUCUGUUACAUUUUGUUAUUAGCUAGCAAAUAGGAUUUAGAC
rnacentral:lncRNA from 1 species